UCGUAGCUACGCCGGUAAACCGGUACCCCC
rnacentral:sRNA from 1 species